rnacentral:rRNA from 1 species
CACGCCCUAAACGAUCUUCUCUAGCUAUUCGGAGUAUCGACCCUCUGAGUGGCGUAGCUAACGCGUUAAGAGAAGCGCCUGGGAAGUACGAUCGCAAGAUUAAAACUCAAAGGAAUAGACGGGGACUUGCACAAGCAGUGGAUUAUGUGGUUUAAUUCGACGAUAAACGAAGAACCUUACCAAGAUUUGAAACCUACGUGAAAUCCCGGAGAAACUCGGGACCUCGCAAGACUAGUAGGCAGGUGA